UUUCCGUAGGUGAACCUGCGGAAGGAUCAUUAAUGAAUUCUGAAAGGGGUUGUAGCUGGCCGUUUCGUUUGAGCGGCAUGUGCACGCCCUGAUCAUUAUCCAUCUCACACACCUGUGCACAUACUGUAGGUCGGCUUUUGAUUGGAGUGGGGUCUUCAUCGACUCUGCUUUUUAGUUGGGGCCUUCCUAUGUUUUAUCACACACUAUUUCAGUUAAAAGAAUGUCCUCUUGCGUCUAACGCAUUUAAAUACAACUUUCAGCAACGGAUCUCUUGGCUCUC
rnacentral:misc_RNA from 1 species